GACUGAGCGGCGGACGGGUGAGUAACGCGUGGGUAACCUGCCUCAUACAGGGGGAUAACAGUUGGAAACGGCUGCUAAUACCGCAUAAGCGCACAGUACCGCAUGGUACGGUGUGAAAAACUCCGGUGGUAUGAGAUGGACCCGCGUCUGAUUAGCUAGUUGGAGGGGUAACGGCCCACCAAGGCGACGAUCAGUAGCCGGCCUGAGAGGGUGAACGGCCACAUUGGGACUGAGACACGGCCCAGACUCCUACGGGAGGCAGCAGUGGGGAAUAUUGCACAAUGGGGGAAACCCUGAUGCAGCGACGCCGCGUGAAGGAAGAAGUAUUUCGGUAUGUAAACUUCUAUCAGCAGGGAAGAAAAUGACGGUACCUGACUAAGAAGCCCCGGCUAACUACGUGCCAGCAGCCGCGGUAAUACGUAGGGGGCAAGCGUUAUCCGGAUUUACUGGGUGUAAAGGGAGCGUAGACGGAAGAGCAAGUCUGAUGUGAAAGGCUGGGGCUUAACCCCAGGACUGCAUUGGAAACUGUUUUUCUUGAGUGCCGGAGAGGUAAGCGGAAUUCCUAGUGUAGCGGUGAAAUGCGUAGAUAUUAGGAGGAACACCAGUGGCGAAGGCGGCUUACUGGACG
rnacentral:rRNA from 1 species